rnacentral:misc_RNA from 1 species
GAUGAAGAACGCAGCGAAAUGCGAUAAGUAAUGUGAAUUGCAGAAUUCAGUGAAUCAUCGAAUCUUUGAACGCACAUUGCGCCCGCCAGUAUUCUGGCGGGCAUGCCUGUUCGAGCGUCAUUACAACCUUCAGGCCCCCGGGCCUGGCGUUGGGGAUCGGCGGAAGCCCCCUGCGGGCACAACGCCGUCCCCCAAAUACAGUGGCGGUCCCGCCGCAGCUUCCAUUGCGUAGUAGCUAACACCUCGCAACUGGAGAGCGGCGCGGCCACUCCGUAAAACACCCAACUUCUGAAUGUUGACCUCGAAUCAGGUAGGAAUACCCGCUGAACUUAAGCAUAUCAAUAAGCGGAGGA